rnacentral:rRNA from 1 species
UACAGAGGGGGCAAGCGUUAUUCGGAAUUAUUGGGCGUAAAGCGCACGUAGGCGGCUUAGCAAGUCGGAUGUGAAAUCCCUCGGCUCAACCAAGGAAGUGCAUCCGAAACUGCUGAGCUUGAGUACGAAAGAGGAUCGCGGAAUUCCCGGUGUAGAGGUGAAAUUCGUAGAUAUCGGGAAGAACACCCGUGGCGAAGGCGGUUCUCUGGGACGGUACUGACGCCGAGACGCGAAAGCGUGGGGAGCGAACAGG